AGAUUCCAGAAGCCUUUCCUACCCUGGUUGAUGCAGUCCAGAAGUAGAAGGUGAAGAUCUGGUGUGAUACAUUCAAAUCUUAAAAAACAAACCAACCUGAAAAACGUCUAUACUGCAUGUAGAUUUGGAGUUCAGAUUCUAUAGACGGUAAUCAAGCAGCAGUAUUUUCUGGUUAUGUGUCGAUAGCUGUUUCUUACACUUGCAUACUUUUCCUAGCAGAAAUGAGGAUCUUGUAUGGGAACAUUUAACUAGUGCUACAGUCUUACCUUUCUGGAAAGAGAAGCUUUUGAGAAACCCCUGUUCAGCAUCAUUUUUUAUUAAUCACUUUGUAUGUUAUCUAAA